AGAACGAACGCUGGCGGCAUGCCUAAUACAUGCAAGUCGAACGAACUCUUCGGAGUUAGUGGCGCACGGGUGCGUAACGCGUGGGAAUCUGCCCCUUGGUUCGGAAUAACAGUUGGAAACGACUGCUAAUACCGGAUGAUGACGAAAGUCCAAAGAUUUAUCGCCAAGGGAUGAGCCCGCGUAGGAUUAGCUAGUUGGUAGAGGUAAGCUCACCGAGACAACGAUCCUAGCUGUCUGAGAGGAUAGAU
rnacentral:rRNA from 1 species